rnacentral:rRNA from 1 species
GAUGAACGCUGGCGGCGUGCCUAAUACAUGCAAGUCGAGCGAACAGACGAGGAGCUUGCUCCUCUGACGUUAUCGGCGGACGGGUGAGUAACACGUGGUUAACCUACCUAUACGACUGGGAUAACUUCGGGAAACCGUAGCUAAUACCGGAUAAUAUAUUGAACCUCAUUGUUCAAUAGUUAAAUACGGUUUUUCUGUCACUUAUAGAUUAAUCCGCGCCGCAUUAGCUAGUUGGUAAGGUGACGGCUUAACAAGGCGACGAUGCGUAGCCGACCUGAGAGCGUGAUCGGACACAUGGGAAGUGAGAAACAGCACAGACACCGACGGGAGGAAGCAGUAGAGAAUCCUACGAGAGGGGGGAAAGGGUGAUGGAGCAAAGUCGGGGGAGGGAUGAAGGACCUAGGAUCGGAAAACUCUGUAAGUAGGGAAGAACAAAUGUGCAAGUACCCAUGAACGUAUUGACAGUACCGAAACAGAAAGCCACGGCUAACUACGUG